rnacentral:rRNA from 1 species
AUUGAACGCUGGCGGCAUGCCUUACACAUGCAAGUCGAACGGCAGCACGGGUGCUUGCACCUGGUGGCGAGUGGCGAACGGGUGAGUAAUACAUCGGAACGUACCUUAUCGUGGGGGAUAACGCAGCGAAAGCUGUGCUAAUACCGCAUACGCCCUGAGGGGGAAAGCGAGGGAUCGCAAGACCUCGCGCGAUUAGAGCGGCCGAUGCCUGAUUAGCUUGUUGGUGGGGUAAAAGCCCACCAAGGCGACGAUCAGUAGCUGGACUGAGAGGACGAUCAACCACACUGGGACUGAGACACGGCCCAGACUCCUACGGGAGGCAGCAGUGGGGAAUUUUGGACAAUGGGGGCAACCCUGAUCCAGCAAUGCCGCGUGAGUGAAGAAGGCCUUCGGGUUGUAAAGCUCUUUUGUCAGGGAAGAAACACCGGCUCUAACACAGUCUGGGAAUGACGGUACCUGAAGAAUAAGCACCGGCUAACUACGUGCCAGCAGCCGCCGUAA